rnacentral:rRNA from 1 species
CCGUAGCAAUACGGGAGUGGCGCACGGGUGAGUAACGCGUGGGAACCUACCCUUUGGUUCGGGACAACCCAGGGAAACUUGGGCUAAUACCGGAUGAGUUCCGCUGGUCGAGAGGCUGGCGGAAGAAAGAUUUAUCGCCGAAGGAGGGGCCCGCGUCGGAUUAGGUAGUUGGUGGGGUAACGGCCUACCAAGCCUGCGAUCCGUAGCCGGUCUGAGAGGAUGAUCGGCCACACUGGGGCUGAGACACGGCCCAGACUCCUACGGGAGGCAGCAGUGGGGAAUAUUGGACAAUGGGGGCAACCUUGAUCCAGCCAUGCCGCGUGAGUGAUGAAGGCCUUAGGGUUGUAAAGCUCUUUCGCGCACGACGAUGAUGACGGUAGUGCGAGAAGAAGCCUCGGCUAACUCCGUGCCAGCAGCCGCGGUAAAACGGAGGAGGCUAGCGUUGUUCGGAAUUACUGGGCGUAAAGCGUGCGCAGGCGGCUCGAUUAGUCGGAUGUGAAAUCCCGGGGCUCAACCCCGGAACUGCCUCCGAUACUGUCGAGCUUGAGCGGAGGAGAGGAGAGCGGAAUUCCCAGUGUAGAGGUGAAAUUCGUAGAUAUUGGGAAGAACACCGGUGGCGAAGGCGGCUCUCUGGCCUCUUGCUGACGCUCANGCACGAAAGCGUGGGGAGCAAACAGGAUUAGAUACCCUGGUAGUCCACGCCGUAAACGAUGGAUGCUGGAUGUCGGGGGGCUUGCCCUUCGGUGUCGAAGCUAACGCGAUAAGCAUCCCGCCUGGGGAGUACGGCCGCAA